rnacentral:rRNA from 1 species
CCUACGGGUGGCAGCAGUGAGGAAUAUUGGUCAAUGGACGAAAGUCUGAACCAGCCAAGUAGCGUGAAGGAUGACUGCCCUAUGGGUUGUAAACUUCUUUUAUAAAGGAAUAAAACGAGGCACGUGUGCCUUUUUGCAUGUACUUUAUGAAUAAGGAUCGGCUAACUCCGUGCCAGCAGCCGCGGUAAUACGGAGGAUCCGAGCGUUAUCCGGAUUUAUUGGGUUUAAAGGGAGCGUAGAUGGGUUUUUAAGUCAGUUGUGAAAGUUUGCGGCUCAACCGUAAAAUUGCAAUUGAUACUGGCAGUCGUGAGUACAGUUGAGGUAGGCGGAAUGCGUGGUGUAGCGGUGAAAUGCUUAGAUAUCACGAAGAACCCCGAUUGCGAAGGCAGCUUACUAAGCUGUGACUGACAUUGAUGCUCGAAAGUGUGGGUAUCAAACAGGAUUAGAUACCCCGGUAGUC